rnacentral:rRNA from 1 species
GACGAACGCUGGCGGCGUGCCUAAUACAUGCAAGUCGAACGCACUCUCGUUUAGAUUGAAGGAGCUUGCUCCUGAUUGAUAAACAUUUGAGUGAGUGGCGGACGGGUGAGUAACACGUGGGUAACCUGCCCUAAAGUGGGGGAUAACAUUUGGAAACAGAUGCUAAUACCGCAUAAAACCUAACACCGCAUGGUGUAGGGUUGAAAGAUGGUUUCGGCUAUCACUUUAGGAUGGACCCGCGGUGCAUUAGUUAGUUGGUGAGGUAAAGGCUCACCAAGACCGUGAUGCAUAGCCGACCUGAGAGGGUAAUCGGCCACACUGGGACUGAGACACGGCCCAGACUCCUACGGGAGGCAGCAGUAGGGAAUCUUCCACAAUGGACGAAAGUCUGAUGGAGCAACGCCGCGUGAGUGAAGAAGGUUUCGGAUCGUAAAACUCUGUUGUUGGAGAAGAAUGUAUCUGAUAGUAACUGAUCAGGUAGUGACGGUAUCCAACCAGAAA